rnacentral:rRNA from 1 species
UCAGGGCGUAACACAUGCAAGUCGAACGAACCCUUCGGGGUUAGUGGCGCACGGGUGCGUAACGCGUGGGAAUCUGCCCUUUGCUUCGGAAUAACAGUUAGAAAUGACUGCUAAUUCCGGAUGAUGUAUUCGGACCAAAGAUUUAUCGGCAAGGGAUGAGCCCGCGUAGGAUUAGGUAGUUGGUGGGGUAGAGGCCUACCAAGCUGACGAUCCUUAGCUGGUCUGAGAGGAUGAUCAGCCACACUGGGACUGAGACACGGCCCAGACUCCUACGGGAGGCAGCAGUGGGGAAUAUUAAGCGAUGGGCGCAAGCCUGAUCCAGCAAUGCCGCGUGUAUGAGGGAGGCCUUCGGGUCGUAAAGCUCUUUUACCAGGGAUGAUA